UGAGGUGUCUGAUGUGCAUCUUUAAGGUC
rnacentral:piRNA from 1 species